CCCGCUGAACUUAAGCAUAUCAAUAAGCGGAGGAAAAGAAACUAACAAGGAUUCCCCUAGUAACUGCGAGUGAAGAGGGAAAAGCUCAAAUUUAAAAUCUGGCAGCCUUCGGUUGUCCGAGUUGUAAUCUAGAGAAGUGUUACCCGCGCCGGACCGUGUAUAAGUCUCCUGGAAUGGAGCGUCAUAGAGGGUGAGAAUCCCGUCUUCGACACGGAUCCCCGGGGCUUUGUGGUGCGCUCUCAAAGAGUCGAGUUGUUUGGGAAUGCAGCUCAAAAUGGGCGGUAAAUUCCAUCUAAAGCUAAAUAUUGGCGAGAGACCGAUAGCGAACAAGUACCGUGAGGGAAAGAUGAAAAGAACUUUGGAAAGAGAGUUAAACAGUACGUGAAAUUGCUGAAAGGGAAACGCUUGAAGUCAGUCGCGUCGGCUGGAAAUCAACCUUGCUUUAGUUGGGUGUACUUUCCAGUUGACGGGCCAGCAUCAGUUUUGACCGGUGGAAAAAGUCCAGAGGAAGGUGGCACCUUCGGGUGUGUUAUAGCCUUUGGUCGUAUACAUCGGUUGGGACUGAGGAACUCAGCACGCCGCAAGGCCGGUCUUCGGACACGUUCGUGCCUAGGAUGCUGGCAUAAUGGCUUUAAUCGACCCGUCUUGAAACACGG
rnacentral:rRNA from 1 species